UAAGCCGCCGCGCGCCCCACUGUGGCUAAUAUGAUAUAACAACUAGAAAAGGGAGAGAUGGCUGCCAAUUCGCAUUCUGCGUGCUUUAUUAUAUUAUUAUAUUAUAUGCUAUCAAUCACAUGUCAUCGGCCAAUUCCUCCAACUCAAAUAGCGCAGCCACAGCUUCCUCCAGUCUCCACCACAGGUCGUUAACAACAAGGCACUCUCAGUGCGUGUCGUCUCAUGCUCUGGCCACACGACCAGGUCUGCCUGUGUGCGUAGCGUAAGACAUGAACACGUACAUGUCUCUCUCCUUGGAGCGAAGCAGCAGCGUGGUCCGCGACGUCGCCACGCCCGCGCCUCCGGCGACCAGUGGCGCCAGUGCGCCGUAUCCACGCGCGGGCGCGGGCGCGUCGCUCUCCCUGCCCGGCGCAGCGGCGGCGCACGGGCACAGCCAGUACCUGCCCCUCAACGAGGACGACUCCCUGGACAUGGUCCUCUUCGACGUGCUCCGAGAGGCAUCCGGCCCCGGCUCCGCCUCCGCCGCGGCGCCCGACACCUACCAGCCGCCCUCGUCGCUGCCUACGCUCAAGGCGCUCGCUUCCGGCGCCGCGCGCAGGGGCAGCAGGACCGCGUACGCACCGAAGGCGGCCACGGCGGGCCACCAUAUACCGCGGGGUGAGGCGGCGGCCGUGGGGCAAGUACGCCGCGGAGAUCCGUGACCCGGCGCGGCACGGGGCGCGGCUCUGGCUCGGCACCUUCGCCACGGCCGAGGAGGCAGCCGCCGCGUACGACCGCGCCGCGGUCCGCAUGCGCGGAGCCAAGGCGCUGCUCAACUUCCCGCCGGGGGUCGCGGGCUGCGGGAGCGCCGCAACCGCUACGGCGAAGCAGGCUGGGCUGACGGAAGCCAAGUGAACAGCGAAUGCGAUCUCAAAGGAACCAGCUGCGAAACUGUGUAAUGUAAUUGUGUGGAAUAGUAGUAUAUAAUGUAAAUGUGGAUGAACUAGAGAGAGAUUUCCAUUCAUCAUUGAACGGACCACGACAAGGAUUCCAAGGCGCCGAUUCCCAAGAUCUGCACGCAGCUGGUAGGAUGAGAUCAUCCCAUUACAGUUCUGCCACCCAUUUAUUUUAACUCAUGGGGAUAAAACAAUUUAAAAAACAUGUUUGGUGAAUUCAUAGUAUCAACGCACCAUGGUUUAUGUUGUUGUUUUCAUCUGAGUAACAUAAGUAGAAUUAUUUCAUAGAUAAUUAGUUGUGAAUUAAUAGUUUCAAUCCAACAUGAUUGUUGUAUGUAGUUUACCGUUCUGUGAAGCUAAACACAUUUACAUGAUGCCUCAUAUA